rnacentral:rRNA from 1 species
UACGGAGGGUGCAAGCGUUAUCCGGAUUCACUGGGUUUAAAGGGUGCGUAGGCGGACAGGUAAGUCAGUGGUGAAAUCUCCGAGCUUAACUCGGGAACUGCCGUUGAUACUAGUUGUCUUGAAUACUGUGGAGGUAAGCGGAAUAUGUCAUGUAGCGGUGAAAUGCUUAGAUAUGGGAUAGAACACCGAUUGCGAAGGCAGCUUACUGGACAGCGAUUGACGCUGAGGCACGAAAGCGUGGGGAGCAAACAGG